AGAGACUAGCAGCUACUGUGAAAGAAAAGCCUUAGUGCAAAGGGAAAUGCUUCCGCAGCCUCAUCCCCAACUCCUACCACGACUAUACUCGCACCCCAGGGGGAAAGCACUCUGACUUUAUCCCAUAGAUAGUCCAAAGGGUGCUAAGAGAAACCCAGAAGGUGGUGGUGACAAGAAACAGAGAACCGGGGGAAGGAGACGAAAAACUCACCAACCGAAGCAAUGCAAAUUCAGUCUUUGAAGUUAAUCAAGCAGUCUUAAGAGUUGGAGGCAGUGCUGGAUGAAAAAAAGGCAAAUGUAUUUCAGGUGCAGGAGGACAUCUUUUGCAAGGGAGUUUUCUCUCCUGUGUUCAGGAAGAAAAGGGGAGGUCAGCUUGCCUUUCUUGCAUUUGUUGUUUUUCUAGUGUCUGUAGCUCAAAACAG